rfam:Schistosoma margrebowiei strain Zambia genome assembly, scaffold: SMRZ_contig0007114
AUCCAGCUGACGAGUUCCAAAUAGGACGAAACGUGCGUCCUGGAU